AUGGAGCAACACACAGGCUACAUCCAGGACAUGAAGCAAGCGGGCAGAUCAGACCAUUUCCCCCCAGAGAUCAUUGUAAUUUACACCAUGAUGUCACAAUUUGAACCACGCAUUGUGUGUGCAGUUCACUGCAGUUGCCUUGAUGGCUACAACUCGCAGGUAGCGAGCGCCGACGCCUCACUUGCCGGGAACAAAGUUUGUGGCAAACGCCCAUGCGUUGUUGUUGACAGGGUCAGAGAGGUGGUCGGCGAGGUUCUCGAGUGGGCCCUUGCCGGUGACGAUGGCCUGCACGAAGAAGCCAAACAUAGAGAACAUGGCAAGGCGUCCGUUCUUGACUUCCUUCACCUUGAGCUCCGCGAAUGCCUCUGGAUCGUCAGCCAGGCCUAG
rnacentral:rRNA from 1 species